rnacentral:ncRNA from 1 species
UCUUUUCUGCCACCGGGUAGGAAAGGUAAGCGUCAGAAUUUCUAUCGUUAGGUCUGAGAAGAUAGGAAUCCUGGCGCUUUUUAUUU